CCUACGGGAGGCAGCAGUGGGGAAUAUUGCGCAAUGGGCGAAAGCCUGACGCAGCGACGCCGCGUGAGGGAUGAAGGUCUUCGGAUCGUAAACCUCUGUCAGCAGGGAAGAACGGUCACUGUGCUAAUCAGCAGUGAAUUGACGGUACCUGCAAAGGAAGCACCGGCUAACUCCGUGCCAGCAGCCGCGGUAAUACGGAGGGUGCGAGCGUUAAUCGGAAUUACUGGGCGUAAAGCGCUCGUAGGCGGUAUGUCAAGUCAAGGGUGAAAUCCCCGGGCUCAACGUGGGAACUGCCUUUGAAACUGGCAAACUGGAGUGUGUGAGAGGAUAGUGGAAUUCCAGGUGUAGGAGUGAAAUGCGUAGAUAUCUGGAGGAACAUCAGUGGCGAAGGCGACUAUCUGGCACAUAACUGACGCUGAGGAGCGAAAGCGUGGGUAGCAAACAGGAUUAGAUACCCGGGUAGUC
rnacentral:rRNA from 1 species